rnacentral:rRNA from 1 species
CUACGGGGGGCAGCAGUGAGGAAUAUUGCACAAUGGGGGGAACCCUGAUGCAGCAACGCCGCGUGGAGGAUGACGCAUUUCGGUGUGUAAACUCCUUUUAUAUGUCAAGAAAAUGACGUUAGCAUAUGAAUAAGCACCGGCUAACUCCGUGCCAGCAGCCGCGGUAAUACGGAGGGUGCAAGCGUUACUCGGAAUCACUGGGCGUAAAGGACGCGUAGGCGGGGUGGAAAGUCAGGUGUGAAAUCCUACAGCUUAACUGUAGAACUGCACUUGAAACUUCUAAUCUAGAGUAUGGGAGGGGGAGAUGGAAUUAGUGGUGUAGGGGUAAAAUCCGUAGAUAUCACUAGGAAUACCUAAAGCGAAGGCGAUCUCCUGGAACAUUACUGACGCUAAGGCGUGAAAGCGUGGGGAGCAAACAGGAUUAGAUACCCGGGUAGUC